rnacentral:rRNA from 1 species
UCACUUGAAGAUGGGCGUGCGUCUGAUUAGGUAGUUGGUGAGGUAACGGCUCACCAAGCCGACGAUCAGUAACUGGCGUGAGAGCGCGACCAGUCACACGGGCACUGAGACACGGGCCCGACUCCUACGGGAGGCAGCAGUAAGGAAUAUUGGUCAAUGGACGCAAGUCUGAACCAGCCAUGCCGCGUGGAGGAUGAAUGCCCUCUGGGUUGUAAACUUCUUUUAUCUGGGACGAAACACUUCUUUUCUAAGAGGCUUGACGGUACCAGAGGAAUAAGCACCGGCUAACUCCGUGCCAGCAGCCGCGGUAAUACGGAGGGUGCAAGCGUUAUCCGGAUUCACUGGGUUUAAAGGGUGCGUAGCGGAUCUGUAAGUCCGUGGUGAAAUCUCCAAGCUUAACUUGGAAACUGCCAUGGAUACUA